GACGAACGCUGGCGGCGUGCUUAACACAUGCAAGUCGAACGGAAAGGCCCUGCUUUUGUGGGGUGCUCGAGUGGCGAACGGGUGAGUAACACGUGAGUAACCUGCCCUUGACUUUGGGAUAACUUCAGGAAACUGGGGCUAAUACCGGAUAGGAGCUCCUGCUGCAUGGUGGGGUUUGGAAAGUUUCGGCGGUUGGGGAUGGACUCGCGGCUUAUCAGCUUGUUGGUGGGGUAGUGGCUUACCAAGGCUUUGACGGGUAGCCGGCCUGAGAGGGUGACCGGCCACAUUGGGACUGAGAUACUGCCCAGACUCCUACGGGAGGCAGCAGUGGGGAAUAUUGCACAAUGGGCGGAAGCCUGAUGCAGCAACGCCGCGUGCGGGAUGACGGCCUUCGGGUUGUAAACCGCUUUCGCCUGUGACGAAGCGUGAGUGACGGUAAUGGGUAAAGAAGCACCGGCUAACUACGUG
rnacentral:rRNA from 1 species